rnacentral:rRNA from 1 species
UACGAAGGGGGCUAGCGUUGUUCGGAUUUACUGGGCGUAAAGCGCACGUAGGCGGAUCGAUCAGUCAGGGGUGAAAUCCCAGAGCUCAACUCUGGAACUGCCUUUGAUACUGUCGAUCUGGAGUAUGGAAGAGGUGAGUGGAAUAGCCAGUGUAGAGGUGAAAUUCGUAGAUAUUGGCUGGAACACCGGUGGCGAAAGCGGCUCUCUGGCCCGGUUCUGACGCUGAGGCGCGAAAGCGUGGGGAGCAAACAGG